UACAGAGGGGGCAAGCGUUUAUUCGGAAUCACUGGGCUUACAGAGUUCGUAGGCGGUCUGGAAAGUUGGGUGUGAAAUCCCUCGGCUCAACCGAGGAACUGCGCUUGAAACUACCAGACUCGAGGGAGAUAGAGGAAAGCGGAACUGAUGGUGGAGCGGUGAAAUGCGUUGAUAUCAUCAGGAACACCGGUGGCGAAGGCGCUUUCUGGGUCUUACCUGACGCUGAGGAACGAAAGCCAGGGGAGCGAACGGG
rnacentral:rRNA from 1 species